GACGAAGGGGGCUAGCGUUGUUCGGAAUUACUGGGCGUAAAGCGUGUGUAGGUGGUUGUCAUAGUCAGGCGUGAAAGCCUUGAGCUCAACUCAAGAAAUGCGCUUGAUACUGGGCAGCUAGAGGACCGGAGAGGAUAGUGGAAUUCCCAGUGUAGUGGUGAAAUACGUAGAGAUUGGGAAGAACACCAGUGGCGAAGGCGGCUAUCUGGACGGUUUCUGACACUAAGACACGAAAAGCGUGGGGGAGCAAACAGGG
rnacentral:rRNA from 1 species